rnacentral:rRNA from 1 species
ACCAGACUCCUACGGGAGGCAGCAGUGGGGAAUAUUGCACAAUGGGGGAAACCCUGAUGCAGCGACGCCGCGUGAGUGAAGAAGUAUUUCGGUAUGUAAAGCUCUAUCAGCAGGAACGAGACAAGACGGUACCUGACUAAGAAGCCCCGGCUAACUACGUGCCAGCAGCCGCGGUAAUACGUAGGGGGCAAGCGUUAUCCGGAAUCACUGGGUGUAAAGGGAGCGUAGACGGCUGUGCAAGUCUGAAGUGAAAGGCGGGGGCCCAACCCCUGGACUGCUUUGGGAACUGUACGGCUGGAGUGCAGGAGAGGUAAGUGGAAUUCCUAGUGUAGCGGUGAAAUGCGUAGAUAUUAGGAGGAACACCAGUGGCGAAGGCGGCUUACUGGACUGUAACUGACGUUGAGGCUCGAAGGCGUGGGGAGCAAACAGGAUUAGAUACCCCUGUA